rnacentral:rRNA from 1 species
GACGACGCUGGCGGCGUGCCUAAUACAUGCAAGUAGAACGAGUUGCGAACGGGUGAGUAACGCGUGGUAACCUGCCUCAUAGCGGGGGAUAACUACUGGAAACGGUAGCUAAUACCGCAUACCAUCAGAUGUGCCCAGUUGGGUUUAGCUAUGAGGGGGGGGAAUGGAUCACCUAGGCGACGAUCCCUAGCUGGUCUGAGAGGAUGACCAGCCACACUGGAACUGAGACACGGUCCAGACUCCUACGGGAGGCAGCAGUGGGUAAUAUUGCACAAUGGGCGCAAGCCUGAUGCAGCCAUGCCGCGUGUGUGAAGAAGGCCUUCGGGUUGUAAAGCACUUUCAGCGAGGAGGCGUUACUCGCAGAAGAAGCACCGGCUAACUCCGUGCCAGCAGCCGCGGUAAUAC